rnacentral:rRNA from 1 species
AGUGAACGCUGGCGGUAGGCCUAACACAUGCAAGUCGAACGGCAGCACAGUAAGAGCUUGCUCUUACGGGUGGCGAGUGGCGGACGGGUGAGGAAUACAUCGGAAUCUACUUUUUCGUGGGGGAUAACGUAGGGAAACUUACGCUAAUACCGCAUACGACCUACGGGUGAAAGCAGGGGAUCUUCGGACCUUGCGCGAUUGAAUGAGCCGAUGUCGGAUUAGCUAGUUGGCGGGGUAAAGGCCCACCAAGGCGACGAUCCGUAGCUGGUCUGAGAGGAUGAUCAGCCACACUGGAACUGAGACACGGCCCAGACUCCUACGGGAGGCAGCAGUGGGGAAUAUUGGACAAUGGGCGCAAGCCUGAUCCAGCCAUACCGCGUGGGUGAAGAAGGCCUUCGGGUUGUAAAGCCCUUUUGUUGGGAAAGAAAAGCAGCAGGUUAAUACCCCGCUGUUCUGACGGUACCCAAAGACUAAGCACCGGCUAACUUCGUG